rnacentral:tRNA from 1 species
AAAGGACUCGAAAUCCU